CCUAGUUGAUUCCACUUGUCAUCAUAUGCUUUUCUUAAAGAUUAAGCCAUGUAUGUGUAAGUAUGAACUAAUUCAAAUUAUGAAACUAUGAAUGGCUUAUUAAAUUGGUUAUAGUUUGUUUGAUGGUAUCGCUUCUUAGAUAACCAUAGUAAUUCUAAAGCUAAUAUGUGUAACAAACCUCGACUUCUGGAAGGGAUGCAUUUAUUAGAUAAAAGGUCAAUGCUUUGAUGAUUCAUGAUAACUCGUUGGAUCACACGUCCUUUGUGCCAAAGAUGCAUCAUUCAAAUUUCUACCCUAUCAACUUUCAGUAGUAAGAUAGUGGCCUCCUAUAGUGGUGACUGGUGAUGGAGAAUUAGGGUCUGAUUCCAAAAAGAGAGCUUGAAAAAUGGCUACCACACCUAAUGAAGGUAGUAAGCAUGCAAAUUACGCAAUCCUGACAUGGGGAAGUAAUGAUAAUAAAUAGCAAUACUAAGCUCUAUGAGUCUGUAAUUGGAAUGAGUACAAUCUAAAUCCCUUAAUGAAGAUCCAUUAGAGGGCAAGUUUGGUCCCAAAAGCCACAGUUAUUCCAACUCCAGUAGCAUAUAUUUAAGUUGUUAUAGUUAAAAAGCUUGUAAUUGAAAGUAGGGUAGUGUCAUCUAGUCCACCUUACGAUGAGCACUACUAUACUCAUCCCUACUGCUGAUGAUCCAUUCCUGGCCUUAACUGACUGGGUUGUUACUCCGAUGUUGUCACUUUGAAGAAAUUAAAGUGCUCAAAGUAGGCCUAUGCUUGUAUACAUUAGCAUGGGAUAACAUCAUAAGAUUUUGGUCUUAUUGUGCUAGCCUUUAGGAUUAGAGUAAUGAUUAAUAAGGAUAGUCGAGGACAUUUGUAUUUCAUAGUUAGAGGUGAAAUUCUUGGAUUUAUGAAAGACGAACAACUGCAAAAGCAUUUGCCAAAAAUGUUUUCAUUAAUCAAGAAUGAAAUUUGGGGGCUUAAAGUCGAUCAGAUACCAUCCUAGUCUCAACCAUAAAAGAUGCCAACUAGGGAUCAAUGAUUGUUACUUUUAGGACUCGGCCUACACCUUCUAAGAAAUCAAAGUCUUUGGGUUCUAGGGGGAUUAUGGUUGUAAGGCUGAAACUUAAAGGAAUUGAUGAAAGGGCACGACCAGCAGUGAAACCUAUGACUUAAUUUAACUUAACACUAGGAAACAUACUAGGACUAGACAUAAUGAAGAUUGACAGACUAGGAGCUUUUUCUUGAUUCUAUGGAUGGUGCUGCAUGGGUAUUCUUAGUUGAUGAAGUGAUUUGCCUAGUUAAUUCCAUUAACAAAAGAGACCUUAACCUACUAACUAGUUACACAAAGGUGAUCCUUCAUGGCUAGCAUUUUAGAGGGGUUAUGGCCACUUAGGCCAAGGAAGUUUGAGGUAAUAAUAGGUUUGUGCUGCCCUUAGAUGUUAUAGGCUACAGUGCGCUACACUGAUGCAUUCAAUGAGUUUAUAGCCUAGGUCGACAAGCCUAGGUAAUCUUUGAAAUUACAUCAUGAUGGGGAUAAAUCAUUGCAAUUGUUGGUUUUCAAUAAGGAAUUCCUAGUAAGCAUCAGUCAUUAGCUCAUGUUGACUACAUCCCUACCCUUCGUACACACUGCUUGUCCCUCUUAUUAAUUGAAUGGUUUGAUGAAGUAUUUGGAUCACAGUAAUGUGGAUUGUUUGCUACCCGUGACAUCACGAGAAGUCCACUAAACCUUAUCAUUUAGAGGAAGGAGAAUUCAUAACAAGAUUUUUAUAGGUGAACCUAUGAAAG
rnacentral:rRNA from 1 species